rnacentral:rRNA from 1 species
GAGGAAUAUUGGUCAAUGGACGAGAGUCUGAACCAGCCAAGUAGCGUGAAGGAUGACUGCCCUAUGGGUUGUAAACUUCUUUUAUACGGGAAUAAAGUUAGCCACGUGUGGCUUUUUGUAUGUACCGUAUGAAUAAGGAUCGGCUAACUCCGUGCCAGCAGCCGCGGUAAUACGGAGGAUCCGAGCGUUAUCCGGAUUUAUUGGGUUUAAAGGGAGCGUAGGCGGGUUGUUAAGUCAGUUGUGAAAGUUUGCGGCUCAACCGUAAAAUUGCAGUUGAUACUGGCGACCUUGAGUGCAACAGAGGUAGGCGGAAUUCGUGGUGUAGCGGUGAAAUGCUUAGAUAUCACGAAGAACUCCGAUUGCGAAGGCAGCUUACUGGAUUGUAACUGACGCUGAUGCUCGAAAGUGUGGGUAUCAAACAGGAUUAGAUACCCUGGUAGUCCACACAGUAAACGAUGAAUACUCGCUGUUGGCGAUAUACGGUCAGCGGCCAAGCGAAAGCAUUAAGUAUUCCACCUGGGGAGUACGCCGGCAGCGGUGAAACUCAAAGGAAUUGACGGGGGCCCGCACAAGCGGAGGAACAUGUGGUUUAAUUCGAUGAUACGCGAGGAACCUUACCCGGGCUUAAAUUGCAACUGACUGAACCGGAAACGGUUCUUUCUUCGGACAGUUGUGAAGGUGCUGCAUGGUUGUCGUCAGCUCGUGCCGUGAGGUGUCGGCUUAAGUGCCAUAACGAGCGCAACCCUUAUCGAUAGUUACUAGCAGGUCAUGCUGAGGACUCUAUUGAGACUGCCGUCGUAAGAUGUGAGGAAGGUGGGGAUGACGUCAAAUCAGCACGGCCCUUACGUCCGGGGCUACACACGUGUUACAAUGGGGGGUACAGAAGGCAGCUACACGGCGACGUGGUGCUAAUCCCGAAAGCCUCUCUCAGUUCGGAUUGGAGUCUGCAACCCGACUCCAUGAAGCUGGAUUCGCUAGUAAUCGCGCAUCAGCCACGGCGCGGUGAAUACGUUCCCG